GACGAACGCUGGCGGCGUGCCUAAUACAUGCAAGUUGAGCGCUGAAGGUUGGUACUUGUACCAACUGGAUGAGCAGCGAACGGGUGAGUAACGCGUGGGGAAUCUGCCUUUGAGCGGGGGACAACAUUUGGAAACGAAUGCUAAUACCGUAUAAAAACUUUAAACACAAGUUUUAAGUUUGAAAGAUGCAAUUGCAUCACUCAAAGAUGAUCCCGCGUUGUAUUAGCUAGUUGGUGAGGUAAAGGCUCACCAAGGCGAUGAUACAUAGCCGACCUGGGAGGGUGAUCGGCCACAUUGGGACUGAGACACGGCCCAAACUCCUACGGGAGGCAGCAGUAGGGAAUCUUCGGCAAUGGACGAAAGUCUGACCGAGCAACGCCGCGUGAGUGAAGAAGGUUUUCGGAUCGUAAAACUCUGUUGGUAGAGAAGAACGUUGGUGAGAGUGGAAAGCUCAUCAAGUGACGGUAACUACCCAGAAAGGGACGGCUAACUACGUG
rnacentral:rRNA from 1 species